UUCGGUCAGUCAACCUAGGCACAUUGUGGGCUUGGGUUGAGGCACUUAAGAGAUCACAACACCUCCUUCAUGAUGGAGAUUGGUUUCAACAUUGUGACAAACUCCAAUGCUCUAUGGGUUCAAAUUCUUAGAUCAAAUUAUAGUGUGCAAGAUGGUUUAGUGGAGUCUCUCUCGAGAGUGUAGGGCUUAUUUCUUUAGCGGUCUCUUGUCAAGGU
rnacentral:lncRNA from 1 species